GCUCGCGUAGCCCAACUUGGCAGAGGCGGCAGUUUCAAAAACUGUUCGGUGCAGGUUCGACUCCUGACGCGAGUA
rnacentral:tRNA from 1 species